UGGGGAAUAUUGGACAAUGGGGGGAACCCUGAUCCAGCCAUGCCGCGUGUGUGAAGAAGGCCUUAUGGUUGUAAAGCACUUUAAGCGAGGAGGAGGGUACUGGUAUUAAUACUACCAGGUACUGGACGUUACUCGCAGAAUAAGCACCGGCUAACUCUGUGCCAGCAGCCGCGGUAAUACAGAGGGUGCGAGCGUUAAUCGGAUUUACUGGGCGUAACGCGUGCGUAGGCGGCUAAUUGAGUCGGAUGUGAAAUCCCCGAGCUUAACUUGGGAAUUGCAUUCGAUACUGGUUAGCUAGAGUGUGGGAGAGGAUGGUAGAAUUCCAGGUGUAGCGGUGAAAUGCGUAGAGAUCUGGAGGAAUACCGAUGGCGAAGGCAGCCAUCUGGCCUAACACUGACGCUGAGGUACGAAAGCAUGGGGAGCAAACAGG
rnacentral:rRNA from 1 species